rnacentral:lncRNA from 1 species
AUGUCCCCUAGAGGCUCAACCACAUCAAAGCCACCCAAGGAAGGUGGUUGGAGGGGCAUGCUGUCACACACAGAGUCACAGUCACACACGGUGACACAGCCGAGUCCCCGAGGGACGCACAGGGACACACACAGUCGAGGGCGCCUCACCUCGCUUGCACACACAACACGCCAUGCCAGGAACCCACCGGGCAGCGGCACAGGUGCGCACGACCCCACCGCCGGACCCGCGGGCGCACCCGGAGACAGCGUCGCAGGGCUGCGCGCAGGCACACGCAUCCGCGACAGUGGCCUCCGCCCAGAGGCGCACAUGGGUCGCGCAGAGCCACACACAGCCACGCCGACGGCCACGUGCACACACCCAGCACCCAGCCACUCCCACGACCAGGCUCCGAGAGCCACACGGAACAUCGCACAGCCAACGCCCGUUUCUCUGCCCACGGUCGUCCACGCGCACAGCCACCCCGACGCAGCCCGCGACCACACGGCUCCCACACAAGACACGCCCAGGAGUCACAGGCACACGACCUCAGUUACGCACUGGUCACGCGCUCCCAGCCGCGAAGAUUUCCAGGCCCACUCCAGACCUUCUUCAGCCCAGAAUUUGAGACCCUAUGGCUCCGGGGGACCUCUGAGGGACCAUCCACAUAUGAGAAGGAUGACGAAACUUUGAAAGGGAGCCAAGGGCUGCUCCAGGAGCUGCCGAGGGCCCCUCCUAGCUGGGGGCUGGCACACAGGAACCACUGCCACCCUCCAGGAGGUAUGACGUCAUCUGGCCGGUUUGGAGGCUUGGGCUGGUGAAGGGCUUGUGGUUAGGACAGAUGAUGGCCAAAUCAGAACUUUCGGGCCCUGUUCUUGGCGGAGGCUGGUCUCUCUAGGAUGGGCCGGGCUGUCUGGGGACUCUUGAUACAUUUUUCAGGGCUAAUGAUGUCCAGGUCCUCUAAGGACUAGGUCCCAACACUGGACCUUGGAACUUGCCUAAGAUGGGGACAGGCAGGCCAAGGUAGGGCAAGUGCUUGGGAUGGUCUCAAGUCCCCAACUCCCAAUGGGGGUUCUGUUUAUUUUGAACAAUUUUCUCCCCUGAGUCAAUCUGUUUCCUGGUGUCUACUUAGCUCUUUUCCGAAUGUUUACAGAAUAGAAUCAUAUGCUCUCAGAAUUGGAGGGACAUUGGCGGGCACCUACCUGGCCUGUGAUUCAGCCCCUCGACCACACACAUCACAGAAAGGCUGCGUUAUUAGCUUUCCAUGAGCUGGGCACUCUGCGAGUCCUAUGUGGUGCGCUGUUUGAGUCUCACAAUUUGAUGUGGCAGGUAUUCUCAGCUCCAUUUUACAGACGAGAAAAAUGAGGCUCUGAAACUCUAAACCACCUGUCUAAGCAGCAGAAGUUAGAUUCCAGCUUUCUGCCGUCUGCUCCGGGGCCCAGGGUGUCAGC